UACGAAGGGGGCUAGCGUUGCUCGGAAUUACUGGGCGUAAAGCGCACGUAGGCGGCUAUUCAAGUCAGAGGUGAAAGCCCGGGGCUCAACCCCGGAACUGCCUUUGAAACUAGGUAGCUAGAAUCCUGGAGAGGCGAGUGGAAUUCCGAGUGUAGAGGUGAAAUUCGUAGAUAUUCGGAAGAACACCAGUGGCGAAGGCGACUCGCUGGACAGGUAUUGACGCUGAGGUGCGAAAGCGUGGGGAGCAAACAGG
rnacentral:rRNA from 1 species